rnacentral:misc_RNA from 1 species
GAAAUGCGAAAAGUAAUGCGAAUUGCAGAAUUCAGCGAGUCAUCGAGUUUUUGAACGCACAUUGCGCCCGCCAGUAUUCUGGCGGGCAUGCCUGUUCGAGCGUCAUUUCAACCAUCAAGCCCCCGGGCUUGUGUUGGGGACCUGCGGCUGCCGCAGGCCCCGAAAACCAGUGGCGGGCUCGCUGUCACACCGGGCGUAGUAGAUUUUUCGUCUCGCCCAGGGCGUGCUGCGGGUUCCGGCCGUUAAAAAGCCUCUCUUUUAACCCAAGGUUGACCUCGGAUCAGGUAGGAAGACCCGCUGAACUUAAGC